UAAUUUUUAUCCCAUGGAGGUAAAGAGAGGACAUUCAGGUGCUGAAAUAACCAAUGAGCGCUACUAAAAAGUACAAACACGUACACCAACAAUUUGUAUAUUAUCGAGUAGCAUCAAGAUCCUCUAAAGUUAAUUGUGUGCAGUUUUUGUGAAGUUUGUUAGAUCACCAUCUUACAAAUGAUGAAAGGGUGUGUGGAAGAUCAUCUGCUACACAAAAUGAGUGGUUAAGUUGGCACUGAUGAGGGACACCAACUUGUUUCAAAUCAAGAAAUCACAUGAGAUUGUCUUGUCCUUCACCUGACUCUCCCCCAGCAGAUACAUAUGCAAGUAUCUUUCUGCUACUUCCUUGAGUUGACAGAUAGGACAAGGACCACUCGAAGUGAGAUAUCUUCCCGGCUUCAGACUCACAGUCGGCAGUUCUACUCUAAGCUGGUGGGUAGGGUUUCUUUGCAGACAAGAAUUGGUGGAUUAACAAGCCAACCUAACAUGUGGUUUUGCUGCUUCAUGUAUGAUAUCUCUGAUCUCCACUUCCAACAAGCUGUGGAAUUAUUUUAUUUUGUCUAGUCAAAGCACAUGGGUUUGCCUUCCUAUUCAAAGCAAAUGUAAAUGGUACCAACCUGUAUACUUGGACACAAACAAUGUUCUCUACAUCCUUUAUUUGAUAUAUAGCAGACAAGAAGAGGACUACCACAGGUUUCAAUCCAUCUUAAAAACAAUGUUGAAAGAUGAGGCUGUGCUAUUAUUAUUAUUAUUUUUUUUAUCCAUUUUUUAAAAGAGAGAAUGUCAAAACAAUAGGGACGGGCAAAACCAAACCCCUCCAAAAAAAAAAGCAACCUACAAACAAAGCAACCUAAAGGCUGUGCUAUGAUAAGAGGCUGCAAUCAUCUGUUACAUGCUAUGAUAAAAGUUGGUAUGAAUCAAUUAUGAGCACCAGCUGUUCAGCUAAGCUGCUUGAAAGAUGUGUCAAUUCAGUGAAUGAUCAAUCAUCUCCUCCUGACUCAGCAGUCCUGCGCGCUUACAUGGUUCUGAAUAUGUCACAAGAUAAAUUUUUCUGGGAAAGGAUCGGCGUUAUUAAUUUUUGAUGUCUGGACAUCAAAAAUGGUACUAGGCAGCUCAUGGUUUAGUAAAUAAUGGCAAAUGGUCUACUGGAAAAUAAGAAAAGAAAGUUGAUGAACCUUCUUGGUAAGCCUGUAUGAUGUCUGUGAUUGGCUUCUAAAUAUCCCUACUGUGGCAACUGUUCCGUUCUUUUCUUAACUUCAUAAAAUUUAGUUGCUUGUAUGGAAAAUUGCCUUCUUAUACCUUACCUUUUGUUUUGGAUUAGCAAGUGUAGUUCUUUGGUACCCUGUAAUGUAUGGAUACUUUUUAUGUGGAAAUUGAAACUAAGAAAAGAAGCUAAACCAAGGACCAAAAUAUCGAGUUUCGAGGAAAUUUCGAUGGUCUCGGAAACGGAAAUUUCGAUGAAAAUAUCGAGGAUAUAUCGAUUUCAGUAAAUAAUCAAGAAAAAUGAUGGAAAUUUGAAGAAAAACAUGGAAAUUUUAAGUAAAAUUUUUAGAUAUGUUUAUUUAAUCAAUUGUCUGCUAUAUAUGAAAAGAAAACCUUAAUAAAUAUUGUUAUAUAGUAAUUUGUAAUAAUUUAAGAUGAAACGGCAAAUGUU